rfam:Gossypium arboreum cultivar AKA8401 contig_10094_9, whole genome shotgun sequence.
UGUUAAAAAUUCCACCCAUUUCUAUUGUUAAAAACAGGCGUGUUUGACAAAAUAAUCGGACAGUUACAUGUGGCGUGCCAUGUAUACCUCAUUCAGACAUACAAGGACCAGUUUUUAACAAUAAAAAUGAAUGAAAAUUUUAAAA